AUUGAACGCUGGCGGCAUGCCUUACACAUGCAAGUCGAACGGCAGCACGGGAGCAAUCCUGGUGGCGAGUGGCGAACGGGUGAGUAAUAUAUCGGAGCGUGCCCAGUCGUGGGGGAUAACGCAGCGAAAGCUGUGCUAAUACCGCAUACGAUCUACGGAUGUGAGCGGGGGAGAGCAAGGCCUCGCGCGAUUGGGGGAGGCGAUAGCAGAUUAGCUAGUUGGUGGGGUAAAGGGCCACCAAGGCGACGAUCUGUAGCUGGUCUGAGAGGACGACCAGCCACACUGGAACUGAGGCACGGUCCAGACUCCUACGGGAGGCAGCAGUGGGGAAUUUUGGACAAUGGGCGCAAGCCUGAUCCAGCAAUGCCGCGUGCAGGAUGAAGGCCUUCGGGUUGUAAACUGCUUUUGUACGGAACGAAACGGCCCUUUCUAAUACAGGGGGCUAAUGACGGUACCGUAAGAAUAAGCACCGGCUAACUACGUGCCAGCCGCCGCAGUAA
rnacentral:rRNA from 1 species